rnacentral:rRNA from 1 species
GAUGAACUCUGGCGGCGUGCCUAAUACAUGCAAGUCGAGCGAACGGACGAUAAGCUUGCUUCUCUGAUGUUAGCGGCGGACGGGUGAGUAACACGUGGAUAACCUACCUAUAAGACUGGGAUAACUUCGGGAAACCGGAGCUAAUACCUUAUAAUCUUUUGAACCGCAUGGUUCAAAAGUGAAAGACGGUCUUGCUGUCACUUAUAGAUGGAUCCGCGCUGCAUUAGCUAGUUGGUAAUGUAACGGCUUACCAAGGCAACGAUGCAUAGCCGACCUGAGAGGGUGAUCGAGCACGCUAGAGGUGAGACGCGGGCCAGAGGCCUACGGGAGGCAGCAGUCGGGAAUGUUGAGCAAGGAGCGGAAGCUGGAAGGAGAAAGGCCGAGUGAGUGAAAAGGUACAUCGGAUCGUAACAAUUUGUUAUUAGGGACGAACAAAUGUGUAAGUAACUGUGCAAAUAUUGACGGUACCUAAUGAGAGAGAAAAGGGUAACGACGUG